rnacentral:rRNA from 1 species
AGUUUGAUCAUGGCUCAGGAUGAACGCUAGCGACAGGCUUAACACAUGCAAGUCGAGGGGCAGCAUAAAAGUAGCAAUACUUUGGUGGCGACCGGCGCACGGGUGAGUAACGCGUAUGCAACCUACCUAUCAGAGGGGGAUAACCCGGCGAAAGUCGGACUAAUACCGCAUAAAACAGGGGCACCGCAUGGUGAUAUUUGUUAAAGAUUAAUUGCUGAUAGAUGGGCAUGCGUUCCAUUAGGUAGUUGGUGAGGUAAUGGCUCACCAAGCCGACGAUGGAUAGGGGAACUGAGAGGUUGGUCCCCCACACUGGUACUGAGACACGGACCAAACUCCUACGGGAGGCAGCAGUGAGGAAUAUUGGUCAAUGGGCGAGAGCCUGAACCAGCCAAGUCGCGUGAAGGAAGAAGGAUCUAUGGUUCGUAAACUUCUUUUGCAGGGGAAUAAAGUGGAGGACGUGUCCUCUUUUGUAUGUACCCUGAGAAUAAGGAUCGGCUAACUCCGUGCCAGCAGCCGCGGUAAUACGGAGGAUCCGAGCGUUAUCCGGAUUUAUUGGGUUUAAAGGGUGCGUAGGUGGUUUAAUAAGUCAGCGGUGAAAGUUUGCAGCUUAACUGUAAAAAUGCCGUUGAAACUGUUAGACUUGAGUGUAAAUGAGGUAGGCGGAAUGCGUGGUGUAGCGGUGAAAUGCUUAGAUAUCACGCAGAACUCCGAUUGCGAAGGCAGCUUACCAAGCUACAACUGACACUGAAGCACGAAAGCGUGGGGAUCAAACAGGAUUAGAUACCCUGGUAGUCCACGCAGUAAACGAUGAUUACUAGCUGUUUGCGAUACACAGUAAGCGGCACAGCGAAAGCGUUAAGUAA